GAUGAACGCUGGCGGCGUGCCUAAUACAUGCAAGUCGAGCGAACGGACGAGAAGCUUGCUUCUCUGAUGUUAGCGGCGGACGGGUGAGUAACACGUGGAUAACCUACCUAUAAGACUGGGAUAAAUUCGGGAAACCGGAGCUAAUACCGGAUAAUAUUUUGAACCGCAUGGUUCAAAAGUGAAAGACGGUCUUGCUGUCACUUAUAGAUGGAUCCGCGCUGCAUUAGCUAGUUGGUAAGGUAACGGCUUACCAAGGCAACGAUGCAUAGCCGACCUGAGAGGGUGAUCGGCCACACUGGAACUGAGACACGGUCCAGACUCCUACGGGAGGCAGCAGUAGGGAAUCUUCCGCAAUGGGCGAAAGCCUGACGGAGCAACGCCGCGUGAGUGAUGAAGGUCUUCGGAUCGUAAAACUCUGUUAUUAGGGAAGAACAUAUGUGUAAGUAACUGUGCACAUCUUGACGGUACCUAAUCAGAAAGCCACGGCUAACUACGUG
rnacentral:rRNA from 1 species